rnacentral:rRNA from 1 species
AUUGAACGCUGGCGGCAGGCCUAACACAUGCAAGUCGAUCGAGUGGCGGACGGGUGAGUAAUGUCUGGGAAACUGUCCGCUGGAGGGGGAUAACUACUGGAAACGGUAGCUAAUACCGCAUACCAUCGGAUGUGCCCAGUUGGGAUUAGUUAGUAGGGGGGGUAACGGCUCACCUAGUCGACGAUCCCUAGCUGGUCUGAGAGGAUGACCAGCCACACGGGAACUGGGACACGGUGCAGAAUCCUACGGGAGGCAGCAGUGGGGAAUAUUGCACAAUGGGCGCAAGCCUGAUGCAGCCAUGCCGCGUGUAUGAAGAAGGCCUUCGGGUUGUAAAGGACUUUCAGCGAGGAGGCGGUACUCGAAGAAGAAGCACCGGCUAACUCCGUGCCAGCAGCCGCGGUAAUUC